GGAUGAUUAGCUCAGUUGGUUAGAGCGCGCCGUUCACAUCGGCGAGGUCACAGGUUCGAAUCCUGUAUCGUCCACCA
rnacentral:tRNA from 1 species